AGAUACUUCUGUUGUCACACUACCUUCAACAACCCUGAGGCCGUGCUCAGAGGUGCACAAGGACCCGAACAACCAGCACUGGGGGUGCGAAGUGC
rnacentral:misc_RNA from 1 species